UACGGGGGGGGCAAGCGUUGUUCGGAAUUACUAGGCGUAAAGGGCUCGUAGGUGGCCAACUAAGUCAGACGUGAAAUCCCUCGGCUUAACCGGGGAACUGCGUCUGAUACUGGAUGGCUUGAGUUCGGGAGAGGGAUGCGGAAUUCCAGGUGUAGCGGUGAAAUGCGUAGAUAUCUGGAGGAACACCGGUGGCGAAGGCGGCAUCCUGGACCGACACUGACGCUGAGGAGCGAAAGCCAGGGGAGCAAACGGG
rnacentral:rRNA from 1 species